GCACGGUAUGCUGGCGAAAAGUAAAGAUUGCUGACGAUCGGUUCAGCAAGCUCACUUUUAGAUCAAACUUACAAACGUUAACACUAGCGACCGCGAACGAAAAGAAACGUCAUGUUAAAGACAUCUCGGAUAACUCGUUUUAGUGGCGACGAGGUAAAUUAAGUGCCAAAAAAGGUGGUUGAUGAUUGCUGUUGUAAAAUUAAACAGCGUCUUCAGUAAAAAGUUUUUCGUGCGGUGAAUUUGGUGGCAGUACUCCGGUGGUUUUUUAUCGCGUUUUGCGACCGGAUGGUUGACGAGUUUUCAUCAAUUUUAAGCUGCGGUCUGCGUAAGUAGUUUUAAAGCUGCUGUUGCGUCCAUUGAAUUGUGCAUUUUGGAUGCUUUGUGUGAAGCCAUUUUUCUUACAUUUGCUUGUGGCUUGGGUUUGAGGACGCCAUCGUGGAAAUAUUGUAUGAGUAAAAAGAAUAAAAGCUAUUGUCAUUUUGAUUAAAAUAAAAGAAAUUCAUUUGUUUUAUUUCAAACAAAUUAUUCUGGCAUUUUUUAUAUUUUGCUAAUUUUUCUUUUAUAUACAUCAUUCCUUUAGCAUCAAUUUACACGGUUAAAAAAAAAGGUGUACUAGUUGGCGUGUACGUGAAAUAUCUAGAUUGUCUGAAAUAUCGGGCAUUUUAUUUGCCAAGUUUUGCAAGUCGAGCGGAAGAGCUCCUUGAGACGAUUUAUUAAAAUUGAAUUAUAACCAGCAGGAUUGAGCAUCGAGUCAGCGUGUCCGGUCGAAUCUGACGGAUUGUGCGACGAAGCUAUUUUGUUUUACACCGUUAGGCGGUGUCGGUGAGGAACGGAUUUAUCUGGUAAGCGUUUUCAUUCUUUUUAUUAUACUCAAAAUUGCACUCUGGUUUUGUUAGAUAAUGGCUUAUAGUGACGAAAAUUCUUGCCAUAAUGGCACCGUUUUAAUCGGAACAAUUAAGUUAGUUUCUUAGCGUCUUCAGUAAAAAGUUUUUCGUGCGGUGAAUUUGGUGGCAGUACUCCGGUGGUUUUUUAUCGCGUUUUGCGACCGGAUGGUUGACGAGUUUUCAUCAAUUUUAAGCUGCGGUCUGCGUAAGUAGUUUUAAAGCUGCUGUUGCGUCCAUUGGAUUGUGCAUUUUGGAUGCUUUGUGUGAAGCCAUUUUUCUUACAUUUGCUUGUGGCUUGGGUUUGAGGACGCCAUCGUGGAAAUAUUGUAUGAGUAAAAAGAAUAAAAGCUAUUGUCAUUUUGAUUAAAAUAAAAGAAAUUCAUUUGUUUUAUUUCAAACAAAUUAUUCUGGCAUUUUUUAUAUUUUGCUAAUUUUUCUUUUAUAUACAUCUUUCCUUUAGCAUCAAUUUACACGGUUAAAAAAAAAGGUGUACUAGUUGGCGUGUACGUGAAAUAUCUAGAUUGUCGGAAAUAUCGGGCAUUUUAUUUGCCAAGUUUUGCAAGUCGAGCGGAAGAGCUCCUUGAGACGAUUUAUUAAAAUUGAAUUAUAACCAGCAGGAUUGAGCAUCGAGUCAGCGUGUCCGGUCGAAUCUGACGGAUUGUGCGACGAAGCUAUUUUGUUUUACACCGUUAGGCGGUGUCGGUGAGGAACGGAUUUAUCUGGUAAGCGUUUUCAUUCUUUUUAUUAUACUCAAAAUUGCACUCUGGUUUUGUUAGAUAAUGGCUUAUAGUGACGAAAAUUCUUGCCAUAAUGGCACCGUUUUAAUCGGAACAAUUAAGUUAGUUUCUUAUGCUGAUAUUUUUAAAAAAACUUAGAGAGCGCUUUGAUAAGGUUGAGUCAGACCUUAUUCAAAGAUACAAAUUUUAUAAUAAAGUGCAAGGACCUAACGAAAGGGCAGAGGACUUUGUGCUUGCGGUGAAACUGCAAGCCGAGUUCUGUGCCUUUGGUGAUUUUCGGGAAACAGCUAUCCGCGAUAAAUUGGUCAUGGGAGUUGCCGAUGGAAAACUCCAAGAAAAGCUCUUGAACGAGGACAAUCUCAGUUUGGCAAUGGCAGAGAAGAUGAUUGUCAACUGGGAGUUGGCUGGUUCUCGGGCUAGAAUGAUCAAUGAUCGUCAGGGUGGCCAAAUUGCAUCCGUUAAAAGCCGUUUAGGUCGGAGAGAUUUACAUGAUAGGAAUAUGAGUCAUAGUAGGAGCAGAAGUCGUAGUAAUGUUCAUAAACGGAGGUGGCGAAGCAGGAGUACGGAACGGAAGCGGACUGGGCGUUAUGCGGAUUUAGUCUGUGACUUUUGUGGCAUUAAGGGCCACAUCAAGAGGUCUUGUUUUAAGCGUAAAAGAAUGCAGAAGAACUCUGUUAAAUUUAUAGACGACAAGAAGGACCUGAGUUUCGGUGACGACAAAAUAACUGAUUUGUUUGAGCGGCUAAAAGCGGGCAUGAAUGACACGGACAGUGAUAGUGAUUCAGGUAUCUGUUGGAAACGUGGUCGUCAUGGCGCAUCGUAACCAGCUUAAGCUACAAAAGAACACAACUGCUAAGGCGAGCGGAAUCCUAUUCCCUUACGCUAGCAGUCAUGAUGAGGCUCGCACUGAAGGAAGCUACAGUCGCAAGCGAGAUUUUCGCUCAUCGAGUUUUUACGAAGAAGAAAAUUGUCGAGGAUUUGAGGAACCAGUCAUCAAAUGCCGGAGAUUUUCUGGAUCAUUGGAUGGCGAUCGAGAUGAAGCAGCAGAAAUAAAAACUCCUACCUUAAGGAGAUCGAAUCGAUUGAGGAAGGCGAAAAUAGAAGGAAUUUUGUUUGCUAUCGAAGAAAACAAUGAAAUGUUUAAUCAUAAAUAUUAUUUAAAAUAUUUUCUAAUUGUAAAAACUUAAUAUCACUUUUAAAAAUCAUUUGUACAUUGUAAACAUUUAAGGGGUAAGAGUUGUAAUGACCCAGUAAAAGUAUACACCUCUAAGUAUACUUCUUUGUUAAUUGUAAAUAUCAUUCACAAUACUGGCAGCACGGUAUGCUGGCGAAAAGUAAAUAAAGAUUGCUGACGCUCGGUUUAGCAAGCUCACUUUUAGGUCAAACUUACAAACGUUAACACUAGUGACCGCGAACGAAAAGAAACGUCCUGUUAAAGACAUCUCGGAUAACUCGUUUUAAGGAUCUAAUAGCAACAUAAACAGUAACAACCCGAAUGGAACAUUAUGCCUGGCGAUCAACUUGAAAAUUUGAAUCUUUUAUGAAAUUGCCGCGAAGAAGCAUUAGCCUGCUGUUCAUCGAAAUCCCCCUCGAUGUUCAUUUACGUUUGAAAUGACAUACUAGUUAACGAGCCAAUUUCGAUAACUGGGAAGUGCUCUUCGCCCAGUUAGCGAACAGUUACUGUAUAUGCAAAUAAAAAAAUCAUCUCAACACAUAUGUUUUUCAACCACCAGUGCCUAUCUGGCAUCUCUUUCUUGCAUCGUAAAUCGUCAUAUCGUUUCUCUAUUCCUACGAUUACGAUUAUUCCAUUCAGCAUUGAUAAGUUUGUUUCUCAGUGCUAUCAGUUCGGUACUUCGGUCACUCAAUGCAGAGAUCAUCUUUGACAUAAUUAAUCGCGUAAUUUAAAAAAAAUACACCCCAUCAUGGUCAGGACUUACCAAACGUAUUCGCUCCGGCUAGUGCUGUUGAGAUUUUACGCAAAAAAACUGUUUCCUUGUCAAGCGGUUACGAAAUAUAGAAUCAACUACUCUGUGAUAAAUCGGAUGUUACCUUUAGACUUCAAUCCAGUAGACAACCACGCUAGUUUCCAAAAACGUGAUGAGUCUGAUUUACCUGCUGCAUGAUGCUCGACAUGGACUGACCCGAGAGAUAUGAAUCAAGGUUUCAGUUCCACCAAGACAAAAUGUACUGGAAGAUACCAGACCGGUGGAAAUGCUUGACCCAACCCCGAGUCCUUGUGUUCCUAAUAAGGACUCUAAUAGAACAUAUUCAUUCGAAAGAUAACAAACAUGAAGUAAUAAACCGAACAUUUCCACUAUUUUGAUAUUUUAUAUCGUUUUCUUGCCUCUCAUAUCAAUAAAUAAGAUGCAUUUGUUCUGUUUUCUUCAAAUUAAAA